rnacentral:rRNA from 1 species
AUACGUAGGGAGCGAGCGUUGUCCGGAAUUACUGGGCGUAAAGGGAGCGUAGGCGGGAGUGGAAGUCAGAUGUGAAAUCCCUGGGCUCAACCCAUGGGGUGCAUUUGAAACUGAAUUUCUUGAGUGAAGUAGAGGAAAGCGGAAUUCCUGGUGUAGCGGUGAAAUGCGUAGAUAUCAGGAGGAACACCGGUGGCGAAGGCGGCUUACUGGGCUUUUACUGACGCUGAGGCUCGAAAGCGUGGGGAGCAAACAGGAUUAGAUACCCUGGUAGUCCACGCUGUAAACGAUGAUUACUAGGUGUGGGGGGACUGACCCCUUCCGUGCCGCAGUUAACACAAUAAGUAAUCCGCCUGGGAAGUACGGCCGCAAGGUUGAAACUCAAAUGAAUUGACGGGG